UGAUAUUUAUCAUGUUUAUUGUUUUUGCUGUAUUUUAUAAAUUUUUUGGAUCAUUUUUUUUAUAUUUAUAAAUUAUGAAAAUAUGUAUAAAUAAGUUUCUAGUCAAAUUAGUUCACGGGUGGAUUUACCAAAGUGCCAGCGGGAGCACAUGUCCUGUUUUACAUGAUCGAUUUUUGUAUUUUAAUAUUAAUUUUAAAGUGUUAAAUUACAAUAUAUAUUAAAUGAUGUUUUAUUUUAAAUAAAAGAACUGUGACAUAGUGGUUAUGCCCUAUUCUUACAACCAUCAAGUUGACUUUGAGUUUUCCCUCUUGCAACCCCCUAUACAGUCCAACAUAAAAAUCUUCCGUGUGACAACAUUAAGUGUAGUAUAAACUAUAUUUAACUUAAAAAAAAACCCAAGUAAUCUCUAUUUGUCACACUUAUCAAAUAAAGCUAUCUUUUCCUUUUAAUCUAAAAUCUAUUUGAUAAUUCUAUAACGCUAGAUGAUUAAGUAGACAAUGACUUAAAAAACAAAGGAUAACACUUAUACUUUUCUUUUUAGAGAACCACAGAGCAAAGGUCGCCUUCUUUAACGUGUGGGAUGGGAAAUAGGGAAUCAUUGUUGUUCUCCAAACGUCACAAAUCAUUGGUUUGUCAGUGGGCUUCCACUAAAGAGGGCAGGAUUUUGGGUGAUUGAUUUUGAUUUGUUUAUUUUUAAUUAAAAAACACAGCCUGAAGUAUUUUAUUAUUGUUCAUGGAAAAAGAUACGAGCCUUCCAAAAUCUUAUUUUCAUUUAUAUAUUAUGUAUGCAUGUGUGCAAGUUUGUGGACACACAUAAGAAUGUGUUUGAAAUUUGAUGGAGAUUCUAAGUGAUAUUUGUUUUACGCUUUUUAUGCUAUUAGAUAUGUCAUUGGGCUAGUGGUUUUCUGAAA